rnacentral:rRNA from 1 species
GACGAACGCUGGCGGCGUGCUUAACACAUGCAAGUCGAACGGAAAGGCCCCUUUGGGGGUACUCGAGUGGCGAACGGGUGAGUAACACGUGAGUAACCUUCCCUUGACUUCGGGAUAACUUCAGGAAACUGGGGCUAAUACCGGAUAGGAAUCCUUGCUGCAUGGUGGGGGUUGGAAAGCUUCGGCGGUUUUGGAUGGACUCGCGGCUUAUCAGCUUGUUGGUGGGGUAGUGGCUUACCAAGGCUUUGACGGGUAGCCGGCCUGAGAGGGCGACCGGCCACAUUGGGACUGAGAUACGGCCCAGACUCCGACGGGAGGCAGCAGUGGGGAAUAUUGCACAAUGGGCGGAAGCCUGAUGCAGCAACGCCGCGUGCGGGAUGACGGCCUUCGGGUUGUAAACCGCUUUCAGCAGGGGCGAAGCUUGUGGUGACGGUACCUGCAGAAGAAGCACCGGCUAACUACGUG